AUUGAACGCUGGCGGCAUGCUUUACACAUGCAAGUCGAACGGCAGCGCGGGCUUCGGCCUGGCGGCGAGUGGCGAACGGGUGAGUAAUACAUCGGAACGUGCCCAGUAGUGGGGGAUAGCUCGGCGAAAGCCGGAUUAAUACCGCAUACGACCUGAGGGUGAAAGCGGGGGAUCUUCGGACCUCGCGCUAUUGGAGCGGCCGAUGGCAGAUUAGCUAGUUGGUGGGGUAAAGGCCUACCAAGGCGACGAUCUGUAGCUGGUCUGAGAGGACGACCAGCCACACUGGGACUGAGACAUGGCCCAGACUCCUACGGGAGGCAGCAGUGGGGAAUUUUGGACAAUGGGCGAAAGCCUGAUCCAGCAAUGCCGCGUGUGUGAUGAAGGCCUUCGGGUUGUAAAGCACUUUUGGCGGGAACGAAAAGGACUGUGCCAAUACCACGGUUCGAUGACGGUACCCGCAGAAUAAGCACCGGCUAACUACGUG
rnacentral:rRNA from 1 species